rfam:Oryza nivara chromosome 6, whole genome shotgun sequence.
CUUAAUUCUUAAGUUCCUGUGUCUAACGUUUGACUAUCCAUCUUAUAUGAAAUUUUUUUAUAACUAGUAUUUUCAUUGUUGUUAGAUGAUAAAACAUGAAUAAUACUUUACACGUGACUUAUCUUUUUAAUUUUUUUUAUAUUUUUUUAAAUAAGACGGACGGUCAAACGUUAUAUACGGAAACUAAGAAUUGAGUUAUU